rnacentral:lncRNA from 1 species
GCAUGAUGUAUGUAUAUCCAAACAUAUGAAUAAUCUAGAUGCAUAGAAAUCAGAGUUGAAAGGAACAUUGGUGCUAAAGAAUCUUUUGACAGAGACGUUUCAAUGAUUGCUAAUGAAAUGUACUGAAGGGAUUAAAAAGGAAGAGUUAAAAAGAAAAUGCGCUAUUAUAGUUACAGCAGAGCGUGAUGAUAUGGGAUUCAAUCAUUUAAAUGAGAGUAAAAUACACGAGCAUCAUCUUUUUUUGAACCAGGUACACGAGCAUCAUCGAGUGUGUCGUAUAUAUACCCUUGAAUCGGUUAGAUUUAGAACCCCAAAUUUUCAAAGUGGUUAACCCAAGAUCCAAACAAUGCCCAUUCACUGUUGAUAUGCCUACUUGGUAUCUAUGUCACCCAACUUUAUAACGGUAUUGCCCUACAUGAAAAACCAACGAGAAAAAUCUUAUAUCAUGACCCAAAUGUUCUCUUAAACAUCCUCCACAUCUCUCCC